rnacentral:rRNA from 1 species
AUGAGAACUAGCAUCCUCCUCCUCCUUGCCGCUCUUGGUGCCGUCUCUAUCAUCGCCACACCUACAGCGCUCGACGGGGAAUGGCAACCGAUCAAGAACGUCACCGACCCACAUGUCCAGGACCUCGGCAGUUGGGCGGUGGCGCAACACAACAAGGUGUCCAUCUCCAGGCUCAGGUCCGCCAUGGUGCUGAGCGGCGAAGUGCAGAUUGUGGCCGGCGUGGAGUACCGACUCGACGUCCAAGCAUUGCAGGGUGAUGGCAAGGACGCCAUGUAUAAGGCAGAGGUGUUCGAGCAGGGCUGGCCGACCAACACAACUCGCAAUCUCAUCUCCUUCGAAUAG